UAUUAAAAAUUCUCUCUUUUUGUAUUGUUAAAAACUGGAGUGGUGUAUAGAAUAACCACAUAGUGACGCUUGGCGUGCUAUGUGUACCUCAUAUUGGUUUAUAGAGAUCAGUUUUUAACAAUAGAAAUAGAUAGGAUUUUUAACA
rfam:Gossypium raimondii Chr08_contig_11, whole genome shotgun sequence.